rnacentral:rRNA from 1 species
GACGAACGCUGGCGGCGUGCCUAAUACAUGCAAGUCGAACGAACUCUGGUAUUGAUUGGUGCUUGCAUCAUGAUUUACAUUUGAGUGAGUGGCGAACUGGUGAGUAACACGUGGGAAACCUGCCCAGAAGCGGGGGAUAACACCUGGAAACAGAUGCUAAUACCGCAUAACAACUUGGACCGCAUGGUCCGAGCUUGAAAGAUGGCUUCGGCUAUCACUUUUGGAUGGUCCCGCGGCGUAUUAGCUAGAUGGUGGGGUAACGGCUCACCAUGGCAAUGAUACGUAGCCGACCUGAGAGGGUAAUCGGCCACAUUGGGACUGAGACACGGCCCAAACUCCUACGGGAGGCAGCAGUAGGGAAUCUUCCACAAUGGACGAAAGUCUGAUGGAGCAACGCCGCGUGAGUGAAGAAGGGUUUCGGCUCGUAAAACUCUGUUGUUAAAGAAGAACAUAUCUGAGAGUAACUGUUCAGGUAUUGACGGUAUUUAACCAGAAAGCCACGGCUAACUACGUGCCAGCAGCCGCGGUAAUACGUAGGUGGCAAGCGUUGUCCGGAUUUAUUGGGCGUAAAGCGAGCGCAGGCGGUUUUUUAAGUCUGAUGUGAAAGCCUUCGGCUCAACCGAAGAAGUGCAUCGGAAACUGGGAAACUUGAGUGCAGAAGAGGACAGUGGAACUCCAUGUGUAGCGGUGAAAUGCGUAGAUAUAUGGAAGAACACCAGUGGCGAAGGCGGCUGUCUGGUCUGUAACUGACGCUGAGGCUCGAAAGUAUGGGUAGCAAACAGGAUUAGAUACCCUGGUAGUCCAUACCGUAAACGAUGAAUGCUAAGUGUUGGAGGGUUUCCGCCCUUCAGUGCUGCAGCUAACGCAUUAAGCAUUCCGCCUGGGGAGUACGGCCGCAAGGCUGAAACUCAAAGGAAUUGACGGGGGCCCGCACAAGCGGUGGAGCAUGUGGUUUAAUUCGAAGCUACGCGAAGAACCUUACCAGGUCUUGACAUACUAUGCAAGUCUAAGAGAUUAGACGUUCCCUUCGGGGACAUGGAUACAGGUGGUGCAUGGUUGUCGUCAGCUCGUGUCGUGAGAUGUUGGGUUAAGUCCCGCAACGAGCGCAACCCUUAUUAUCAGUUGCCAGCAUUAAGUUGGGCACUCUGGUGAGACUGCCGGUGACAAACCGGAGGAAGGUGGGGAUGACGUCAAAUCAUCAUGCCCCUUAUGACCUGGGCUACACACGUGCUACAAUGGAUGGUACAACGAGUUGCGAACUCGCGAGAGUAAGCUAAUCUCUUAAAGCCAUUCUCAGUUCGGAUUGUAGGCUGCAACUCGCCUACAUGAAGUCGGAAUCGCUAGUAAUCGCGGAUCAGCAUGCCGCGGUGAAUACGUUCCCGGGCCUUGUACACACCGCCCGUCACACCAUGAGAGUUUGUAACACCCAAAGUCGGUGGGGUAACCUUUUAGGAACCAGCCGCCUAAGGUGGGACAGAUGAUUAGGGUG